rnacentral:rRNA from 2 species
AAAUUGGAGAGUUUGAUCAUGGCUCAGAUUGAACGCUGGCGGCAGGCCUAACACAUGCAAGUCGAACGGUAACAGGAAGCAGCUUGCUGCUU